AGGUAAGUAUUAUUCUUCCGAUAGUCCUGAAGCUGGUCUUCUUGUCGAAGAAACUCCUGUCGAAGUUCAGCAAGUUGUUCUAUCCACACAAGGACUUUUAAAUAAGGAAAUGAAAUGCAGUCUGAAGAGAAAACCAGAGGAAGCAAGAUUAGAGGGAGAAAGAUGAAAACAGAGACUAUGGUCACAAUAGAGAUCUGGACCAAUUGACUUUGAGGCAUUUCUGACAUACCCAAGAAGAGAUCUUCAGUACACAGUUGGGCAUAUGGGUCAGGAACUUGGGGAUGAUUACAGAGAAAUGAGCAUGCAAAAGGUAUUCAAAGCCAUUGGAAUAAGAUCACUAAAAGAAAACUUCACAGGCAGCAGAAAAAACUAACAACAAUUAUUUGAUCAAUUAUUAAGAACUGCUAUCUACUAACUCUCAGUUAGCCUAUGUUUACAUUCUUUUUUUUUCCCCCUCUAUGUGGAAUGAUUGUUUGGAGUCCUGGAGGAGCAAGCUGGCCCCACACUUCUCCAAAUCCACAUUUCUUUUCCUCCAAAGACUGGGAACCAAAGACACGCCUUUGUAGGAGGGCGUAGAUGGACACAACAGAAUGCCUUUAUUUUAUGUGGUGCUGAGGAUAGAACCCGGGUC